CAGCUCCUACCUCCCGGCAGCCUCUCCAGGCCCAGAACUUUCUCCAGUCGGCCUCCACAGACCAAGCUCAUGACUCACAAUGGCCUAUUUAGGCCCAUACCCUACCUCACGGCAGUCUCCGCAGAUGAGGCUACUGCCUCACAACAGCCUCCACAGGCACAGCUCCAUCGUUACAAUGGCCUCUUUAGACCCAGCUCCUGCCUCCCAGCCUUCUCUCUAGGCCCUGAACUUUCUCAAGUCGACGUCACCAGGCCCAGCUCAUGCUUCUUGGCAGCCUCUCCAGGCCCAGCUCUUCCUCCCGGCGGCCUCUGCAGGCCCAGACUGUCAUCAAGUCGGCCUGUCCAGGGCCAGCUCCUGCCUCCCGGCGCCCUCUGCAGGCCCAAGUCGUCCUCAAGUUGGCCUCCCCAGGCCCAGCUCCAGCCUCUCGGCGGCCUCUCCGGGUGCAAAAGUUCCUCGAGUCAGCCUCUCCAGGCCCAGCUCCUCCUGCCUCCCAGUGCCUCUUUCGGCCCAGCCCAGCUCAUGCCUCUGGGCGGCCUUCCCAGGCCCCGCUUUUGACUUUUGGCGGCCUCUGCAGGCCUCGACAAGGCCCGGCCUCCUGCCUCCCGAAGCCUGCACAGGCCCAGCCUCUGCCUCACAGCAGACUCUCCACGCCCAGCUAGCUCUCGCCUCACUGCGGCCUCCCCAGUCCAAAGCUCCUGCCUCUCGGCCGCUUCGGCAGGCCCAGCUCCCGCCUGCCAGUGCCUCUUCAGGCCCAUGGGGCUCAUUCCUCACAACGGCCUUUCCAGGCCCCGUUUUUCCCUUCCGGCGGCCUCUCCGGGCCCAGAACCUCCUCAAGUUGGCCUCUCCAGACCCACUUGCACCCUCCGGGCGUCCUCUCCAGGCCCAGCUCUUCCUCCCGGCUGCGUCUCCAGGCCCGACUCCUGCCUCCCAACAACCUCUUUGGACUCAGUGCCUGCCCAUCUCCUGGCGGCCUUGGUCGGCCCACAGCUUCCUCAAGCCAAGCUCCCCAGGCCCAGGUCAGGCCUCACGGUGGCCUCUCCAGGAUCAGCUCCUGCCCUCCGAUGGUGUCUCCAGGCCCCAAAUGGUCUCCGGCCAGUGGGCUCCUCCACGCCCAGCUUGGGCCUCCCGGCGACCUCUGCAGGCCCAAGUCGUCCUGAAGUCGGCCUCUCCCGGCCCUGCCUCCCAGCAAGUAAGCAAGCUUUUUUGGCUUAGCUCCUGCCCAGCUCCCAACCGCCUUUGUAGGCCCCGAACUUUCUCC
rnacentral:lncRNA from 1 species